rnacentral:rRNA from 1 species
UGGGGAAUAUUGGACAAUGGGGGCAACCCUGAUCCAGCAAUGCCGCGUGUGUGAAGAAGGCCUUCGGGUUGUAAAGCACUUUUAUCGGGAACGAAACGUUGUCGGCCAAUACCCGGCAAAACUGACGGUACCCGAGGAAUAAGCACCGGCUAACUCCGUGCCAGCAGCCGCGGUAAUACGGAGGGUGCAAGCGUUAAUCGGAAUUACUGGGCGUAAAGCGUGCGCAGGCGGUUUUGUAAGUUUGUCGUGAAAGCCCCGGGCUCAACCUGGGAAUGGCGAUGAAGACUGCAAGGCUUGAAUCUGGCAGAGGGGGGUAGAAUUCCACGUGUAGCAGUGAAAUGCGUAGAGAUGUGGAGGAACACCGAUGGCGAAGGCAGCCCCCUGGGUCAAGAUUGACGCUCAUGCACGAAAGCGUGGGGAGCAAAC